GUUGCUCGCCUCUCCUCCGCCCCUGACGACGGCCCGUCGAGGCCCUCAAGCUCUUCCGCUCUGUCACGCGCCGCCUCCGGAAGCUCUAAGACAAAGAUUCAACAAGUGGUAUCAGACUUCCGUUGGUGUUGUGUUGCCAGUUAGUGUUGUGUCUUCAGUGGGUGCUUUCAUCAAAGCUUGUGUGUCUGAUUAAUGAGAACCUGCACGAGAAGUUAAAACAGAAAACUCAUUCAAAUGUUAAGAAAACAGUUUUGUUGGGACCAUAACGUGGCAUUCUGAUAAUUGAUAACUCUGCUAAAAGAUCUGGAAGAAGAACAAUGUUACAGUGUGUUGGAGAAUUCAAAGUACCACGUUGAGUUCUCAAAUAAGGUUUCUCAGAGACAGAUACACAGAGCCCGUUUGGCAUGCUGACCACCUCCAAAAUCAUGUUUGUAGACAUUAUAACGGAGGUGGACAGAAUGCCAAAAUGUCUAUGGAACAAGACCUCUGAGAAAGCCUAGAGAGCAAAGGAAAAGCACAAGGAAAUAGAGAUUGUGUAGCUUGAGUUUUAGUGAAGAAGGAGAUAGGUUGUUGUAAUAAAGAGAAACGAG
rnacentral:sRNA from 1 species